AUGAACGCUGGCGGCGUGCUUAACACAUGCAAGUUGAACGGAGCACCCCUGAAAGAGUUUUCGGACAAUGGAUGGGAAUGCUUAGUGGCGGACGGGUGAGUAACGCGUGAGUAACCUGCCUUGGAGAGUGGAAUAACACAGUGAAAAUUGUGCUAAUACCGCAUGAAGCAGUUGGGUCGCAUGGCUCUGACUGCCAAAGAUUUAUCGCUCUGAGAUGGACUCGCGUCUGAUUAGCUAGUUGGCGGGGUAACGGCCCACCAAGGCGACGAUCAGUAGCCGGACUGAGAGGUUGGCCGGCCACAUUGGGACUGAGACACGGCCCAGACUCCUACGGGAGGCAGCAGUGGGGAAUAUUGGGCAAUGAGCGCAAGCCUGACCCAGCAACGCCGCGUGAAGGAAGAAGGCUUUCGGGUUGUAAACUUCUUUUAUGAGGGACGAUAAUGACGGUACCUCAUGAAUAAGCCACGGCUAACUACGUG
rnacentral:rRNA from 1 species